CGGAAUCGGAAUGGCACCAGACUUAGCGGGCGGCCUCCGUGUGCCAAAAAUAGGCAACGGGCACAGCCGCGCCCAAAAAACAGCCCCCGAAGUUCGGGGUCCCAAGACCCCCCAGCGGAAAAAUGGCCAAAAAACGGGUGGGCUAUAGCCUUGGUGGGGGGCGUGGGCGAAGUUCGUCCGCGGGACUCGGAAUGGCACCAGACUUGGCGGGCGGCCUCCGUGUGCCAAAAAUAGGCCACGGGCACAGCCGCGCCCAAAAAACAGCCCCCGAAGUUCGGGGUCCCAAGACCUCCCAGCGGAAAAAUGGCCAAAAAACGGGUGGGCUAUAGCCUUGGUGGGGGGCGUGGGCGAAGUUCGUCCGCGGGACUCGGAACGGCACCAGACUUGGCGGGCGGCCUCCGUGUGCCAAAAAUAGGCCACGGGCACAGCCGCGCCCAAAAAUCAGCCCCCGAAGUUCGGGGUCCCAAGACCUCCCAGCGGAAAAAUGGCCAAAAAACGGGUGGGCUAUAGCCUUGGUGGGGGGCGUGGGCGAAGUUCGUCCGCGGGACUCGGAACGGCACCAGACUUGGCGGGCGGCCUCCGUGUGCCAAAAAUAGGCCACGGGCACAGCCGCGCCCAAAAAUCAGCCCCCGAAGUUCGGGGUCCCAAGACCCCCCAGCAGAAAAAUGGCCAAAAAACGGGUGGGCUAUAGCCUUGGUGGGGGGCGUGGGCGAACUUCGUCCGCGGGACUCGGAAUGGCACCAGACUUGGCGGGCGGCCUCCGUGUGCCAAAAAUAGGCCACGGACACAGCCGCGCCCAAAAAACAGCCCCCGAAGUUCGGGGUCCCAAGACCCCCCAGCGGAAAAAUGGCCAAAAAACGGUGGGCUAUAGCCUUGGUGGGGUGCGUGGGCGAAGUUCGUCCGCGGGACUCGGAAUGGCACCAGACUUGGCGGGCGGCCUCCGUGUGCCAAAAAUAGGCCACGGGCACAGCCGCGCCCAAAAAACAGCCCCCGAAGUUCGGGGUCCCAAGAACCCCCAGCGGAAAAAUGGCCAAAAAACGGGUGGGCUAUAGCCUUGGUGGGGGGCGUGGGCGAAGUUCGUCCGCGGGACUCGGAAUGGCACCAGACUUGGCGGGCGGCCUCCGUGUGCCAAAAAUAGGCCACGGGCACAGCCGCGCCCAAAAAACAACCCCCGAAGUUCGGGGUCCCAAGACCUUCCAGCGGAAAAAUGGCCAAAAAACGGUGGGCUAUAGCCUUGGUGGGGGGCGUGGGCGAAGUUCGUCCGUGGGACUCGGAAUGGCACCAGACUUGGCGGGCGGCCUCCGUGUGCCAAAAAUAGGCCACGGGCACAGCCGCGCCCAAAAAACAGCCCCCGAAGUUCGGGGUCCCAAGACCCCCCAGCGGAAAAAUGGCCAAAAAACGGGUGGGCUAUAGCCUUGGUGGGGGGCGUGGGCGAAGUUCGUCCGCGGGACUCGGAAUGGCACCAGACUUGGCGGGCGGCCUCCGUGUGCCAAAAAUAGGCCACGGGCACAGCCGCGCCCAAAAAACAGCCCCCGAAGUUCGGGGUCCCAAGACCCCCCAGCGGAAAAAUGGCCAAAAAACGGGUGGGCUAUAGCCUUGGUGGGGGGCGUGGGCGAAGUUCGGCCGCGGGACUCGGAAUGGCACCACACUUGGCGGGCGGCCUCCGUGUGCCAAAAAUAGGCCACGGGCACAGCCGCGCCCAAAAAACAGCCCCCGAAGUUCCGGGUCCCAAGACCCCCCAGCGGAAAAAUGGCCAAAAAACGGUGGGCUAUAGCCUUGGUGGGGGGCGUGGGCGAAGUUCGUCCGCGGGACUCGGAAUGGCACCAGACUUGGCGGGCGGCCUCCGUGUGCCAAAAAUAGGCCACGGGCACAGCCGCGCCCAAAAAUGAGCUCCCGAAGGUCGGGUUCCAACACCCCCCAGCGGAAAAAUGGCCAAAAAACGGCUGCGCUAUAGCCUUGGUGGGGGGCGUGGGCGAAGUUCGUCCGCCGGACUCGGAAUGGCCCCAGACUUUGCGGGCGGCCACCGUUUGCCAAAAAUAGGCCACGGGCACAGCCGCGCCCAAAAAUGAGCGCCCGAAGGUCGGGGCGCCAACACCCCCCAGCGGAAAAAUGGCCAAAAAACGUGUGGGCUAUAGCCUUGGUGGGGGGCGUGGGCGAAGUUCGUCCGCCUGACUCGGAAUGGCCCCAGACUUUGCGGGCGGCCUCCGUGUGCCAAAAAUAGGCCACGGGCACAGCCGCGCCCAAAAAUGAGCGCCCGAUGGUCGGGGCGCCCACACCCCCCAGCGGAAAAAUGGCCAAGAAACGGGUGGGCUAUAGCCUUUGGGGGGGGCGUGGGCGAAAUUCGUCCGCCGGAUUCGGAAUGGCCCCAGACUUUGCGGGCGGCCUCCGUGUGCCAAAAAUAGGCCACGGGCACAGCCGCGCCCAAAAAUGAGCACCCGAAGGUCGGNNNNNNNNNNNNNNNNNNNNNNNNNNNNNNNNNNNNNNNNNNNNNNNNNNNNNNNNNNNNNNNNNNNNNNNNNNNNNNNNNNNNNNNNNNNNNNNNNNNNCAACACCCCCCAGCGGAAAAAUGGCCAAGAAACGGGUGGGCUAUAGCCUUGGUGGGGCGCGUGGGCGAUGUUCAUCCGCCGGACUCGGAAUGGCCCCAGACUUUGCGGGCGGCCUCCCUGUGCCAAAAAUAGGCCACGGGCACAGCCGAGCCCAAAAAUGAGCGCCCGAAGGCCGGGGCGCCAACACCCCCCAGCGGAAAAAUGCCAAAAAACGGGUGGGCUAUAGCCUUGGUGGGGGGCGUGGGCGAAGUUCGUCCGCCGGACUCGGAAUGGCCCCAGACAUUGCGGGCGGCCUCCGUGUGCCAAAAAUUGGCCACGGGCACAGCCGCGCCCAAAAAUGAGCUCCCGAAGGUCGGGUUCCAACACCCCCCAGAGGAAAAAUGGCCAAAAAACGGGUGCGCUAUAGCCUUGGUGGGGGGCGUGGGCGAAGUUCGUCCGCCGGACUCGGAAUGUCCCCAGACUUUGCGGGCGGCCUCCGUGUGCCAAAAAUAGGCCACGGGCACAGCCGCGCCCAAAAAUGAGCGCCCGAAGGUCGGGGCGCCAACACCCCCCAGCGGAAAAAUGGCCAAGAAACGGGUGUGCUAUAGCCUUGGUGGGGGGCGUGGGCGAAGUUCGUCCGCCGGACUCGGAAUGUCCCCAGACUUUGCGGGCGGCCUCCGUGUGCCAAAAAUAGGCCACGGGCACAGCCGCGCCCAAAAAUGAGCGCCCGAAGGUCGGGGCGCCAACACCCCCCAGCGGAAAAAUGGCCAAGAAACGGGUGUGCUAUAGCCUUGGUGGGGGGCGUGGGCGAAGUUCGUCCGCCGGACUCGGAAUGGCCCCAGACUUUGCGGGCGGCCUCCGUUUGCCAAAAAUAGGCCACGGACACAGCCGCGUCCAAAAAUGAGCGCCCGAAGGUCGGGGCGCCAACACCCCCCAGCGGAAAAAUGGCGAAAAAACGUGUGGGCUAUAGCCUUGGUGGGGGGCGUGGGCGAAGUUCGUCCGCCUGACUCGGAAUGGCCCCAGACUUUGCGGGCGGCCUCCGUGUGCCAAAAAUAGGCCACGGGCACAGCCGCGCCCAAAAACGAGCGCCCGAAGGUCGGGGCGCCAACACCCCCCAGCGGAAAAAUGGCCAAAAAACGGGUGGGCUAUAGCCUUGGCGGGGGGCGUGGGCGAAGUUCGACCGCCGGACUCGGAAUGGCCCCAGACUUUGCAGGCGGCCUCCGUUUACCAAAAAUAAGCCACGGGCACAGCCGCGCCCAAAAAUGAGCGCCCGAAGGUCGGGGCGCCAACACCCCCCAGCGGAAAAAUAGCCAAAAAACGGGUGGGCUAUAGCCUUGGUGGGGGGCGUGGGCGAAGUUCGUCCGCCGAACUCGGAAUGGCCCCAGACUUUGCUGGCGGCCUCCGUGUCCCAAAAAUAGGCCACGGGCACAGCCGCGCCCAAAAAUGAGCGCCCGAAGGUCGGGGCGCCAACACCCCCCAGCGGAAAAAUGGCCGAAAAACGGGUGGGCUAUAGCCUUGGUGGGGGGCGUGGGCAAAGUUCGUCCGCCGGACUCGGAA
rnacentral:lncRNA from 1 species